UUGCACAAUGGGGGAAACCCUGAUGCAGCGACGCCGCGUGGAGGAUGAAGGAUCUAGGUCUGUAAACUCCUUUUGUUGGGAAAGACUUAGGACGGUACCCAACGAAUAAGCACCGGCUAACUACGUGCCAGCAGCCGCGGUAAGACGUAGGGUGCAAGCGUUGUCCGGAUUUACUGGGCGUAAAGAGCGCGUAGGCGGAUCGGUAAGUGUGAAGUGAAAUCUCCAGGGCUCAACCCGGAAACUGCUUCGCAUACUGGCGGACUAGAGGGAUGCAGGGGUAGCUAGAAUUCCUGGUGUAGGGGUGAAAUGCGUAGAUAU
rnacentral:rRNA from 1 species